rnacentral:rRNA from 1 species
GACGUAGGGUGCGAGCGUUGUCCGGAUUUAUUGGGCGUAAAGAGCUCGUAGGCGGCUCGUCGCGUCGACCGUGAAAACCCGCGGCUUAACUGCGGGCUUGCGGUUGAUACGGGCGGGCUAGAGUUCGGUAGGGGAGACGUGGAAUUCCUGGUGUAGCGGUGAAAUGCGCAGAUAUCAGGAGGAACACCGGUGGCGAAGGCGGGUCUCUGGGCCGAUACUGACGCUGAGGAGCGAAAGCGUGGGGAGCGAACAGG